rnacentral:rRNA from 1 species
GACGAACGCUGGCGGCGUGCUUAACACAUGCAAGUCGAACGGAAAGGCCUGCAGCUUGCUGCGGGUACUCGAGGGGCGAACGGGUGAGUAACACGUGGAUGAUCUGCCUUGCACUUCGGGAUAAGCUUGGGAAACUGGGUCUAAUACCGGAUAGGACCGCUGUUUAGUGUCAGUUGUGGAAAGUUUUUUCGGUGCAAGAUGAGCUCGCGGCCUAUCAGCUUGUUGGUGGGGUAAUGGCCUACCAAGGCGUCGACGGGUAGCCGGCCUGAGAGGGUGUACGGCCACAUUGGGACUGAGAUACGGCCCAGACUCCUACGGGAGGCAGCAGUGGGGAAUAUUGCACAAUGGGCGGAAGCCUGAUGCAGCGACGCCGCGUGGGGGAUGAAGGCCUUCGGGUUGUAAACCCCUUUCGACAGGGACGAAGCUUUUGUGACGGUACCUGUAUAAGAAGCACCGGCUAACUACGUG